rnacentral:rRNA from 1 species
UACGAAGGAUGCAAGCGUUAUCCGGAUUUAUUGGGUUUAAAGGGUGCGUAGGCGGACUUAUAAGUCAGUGGUGAAAUCUCGUUGCUUAACAACGAACGUGCCAUUGAUACUGUAGGUCUUGAGUACAGAUGCCGUUGGCGGAAUGUGUCAUGUAGCGGUGAAAUGCAUAGAUAUGUCACAGAACACCAAUUGCGAAGGCAGCUUACUAAAGUAUGAUUGACGCUGAGGCACGAAAGCGUGGGGAUCAAACAGG